rnacentral:lncRNA from 1 species
UCAACAUCCAUUUAUUUUUCAAUGUUAAAACACACUUGCAUUCCUAGAAUAAAUCCACUUUUUGUGAUGUGUUAACUUAUUAUCAAAUACAUUUUUAUACAGCAGCUUACUCGUGAGCUUGACAGUCACUGGGUCAAGUAUUUUGCUCCAUAUUUUAACAUAUAUUGAAUUAUUUUUGAUAUCUUAACUCUUGAUGUUUUUGACAUUUUAAGUCUUUUAAGAAGUAAAAUUGAAAAAAUCUACUUAUUCUUCCUAUUGUUAUGGUAGACAUGCUCAUGCAGGUAAUACCUCAGAAGUUUUCCAGGCAUUACUGUCUGGUAAUGUGUAGAUAAAACAGACUGUUGUGUUCUUACACUUUGGAUAACAGGAAUUUCUACAACUUCUCCAGGCUUCACAAAUCAGACACACUUUUUUCUUAAUGCCCAAGUAGCAAUAAUCCAAGCUACUAUCCUACAUGUCUAUGAAGUCUUUAACAAGAUUUUCCUCCAAGAAUACAUUUUAGUUGGAUAAUUUUACCUUACCUAGUUUUUACUCAUUUUCUCAGAAUAUCACUCCAAAAUAAAAGCUAUUCUUUAUCUUUGCAUAACCAACAGUUCCAUUAAAGUAUUUUUCUUUAAUUAAACAUGUAGUUUAUCCACAAAAGGGAAUCCAAACUUCUCAUUCUGUGGAAAAUUUGAAAAACUACAGUCUAGAAGAUUCUGUUAUUAUAUUGCCAUUCCCAUCUAGGAGUGAGUUCUGCCAUUUUUAUAUGUUACUUAUUGUGUCUUCUUUAUAUUUACAUUAUUUUAAGUAUUUUUAUAUUAUGAUACUUUGUUUAUAUUUUAAACUAGAACACAAUUGACAGAAACUGCAGUUAAUCUAAUUAUGGAUUAGACAGUUGCAGGAAACAUUAGUUUACUCUAGGAAGGGAAACACAAAUUGAGUUGUUGUAAGGACACAAUAGGCAAACUGAGUCAUCCAAAAAUGAGAAAUAAAGUAGCAGCAGGUCACAGCAGAACUAACUAGAACUGGAAAUUCAAACACGAGUUUACAGAUUCCACCCUGAAAAGGCUUAUCUCUGUUUUUUCAUCUAAUUUCUUUUUAGCUUUAUAAUUUUGUACAUGCCCUAGCAUGACUACCUCUCUCUCCCAUUUUGGCGUGGCUUUACUAUUCAUGUAUUCAUUGUUUUUUUAAAUAUUAGGGAGGGAAGACUCUUAUCUUUCAUUUCUUAUGUACCCCCAUGAAGACUUUCAGCUGAAAUAACUCAUCUCUCACUCGUUUUUCUUUUAUUUUUUUAUUUAUUUCUUCUAAAAAAAAUGGGAUACAUAUGCAGAUGUGCAGGUUUGUUACAUAGGUAUACAAGUGUCAUGGUGGUAUGCUGUACCUAUUGACCCAUCCUCUAAGUUCCCUCCCCUCACCCUCCACCCCUCAACAGGCCCUGGUGUGUGUGUUCCCCUCUCUGUGUCCAUGUGUUUUGAAUGUUCAACCUCCACUUAUGAGAGAGCAUGCGGGGUUUGGUUUUCUGUUCCUGUGUUAGUUUGCUGAGGAUGAUGGCUUCCAGCUUCAUUCAUGUCCCUGCAAAGGACAUGAUCUUAUUCCUUUUUAUGGCUGCUUAGAAUUCCAUGGUGUAUAUAUGCCACACUUCUUUAUCCAGUCUAUCAUUGGGUUGGUUCCGUGUCUUUGCUAUUGUAAAUAGUGCUGCAAUAAACAUAUGUGUGCAUGUUUCUUUAUAGUAGAAUGGUUUAUAAUCCUUUGGGUAUAUACUCAGUUAUGGGAUUGCUGGAUCAAGUGGUAAUUCUGGUUCUAGAUCCUUGAGGAAUCGCCAUACUGUCUUCCACAAUGGUUGAACUAAUUUACAUUCCCACCAACAGUGUAAAAGCGUUCCUAUUUCUCCACAGCCUCGCCAGCAUAUAUUGUUUCCUGACUUUUUAAUAAUUGCCAUUCUGACUGGCAUGAGAUGGUAUCUCACUGUGGUUUUGAUUUGCAUUUCUCUGAUGAUCAGUGAUAUUGAGCUUUUUUUCAUAUGCUUGCUGGCCAUGUAAAUGUCUUCUUUUAGAAGUGUCUGCUCAUAUCCUUCACCCACUUUUUGAUGGGGUUGUUUGUCUUUUUCUUGUAAAUAUGUUCAAGUUCCUUGUAAAUUCUGGAUAUUAGACCUUUGUCAGAUGGGUAGAUUGCAAAUAUUUUCUCCCAUUCUGCAGGUUGCCUGUUCACUCUGGUGAUGAUAGUUUCUUUUGUUGUGCAGAAGCUCUUUAGUUUAACUAGAUCCCAUUUGACAAUUUUAGCUUUUGCUGCAAUUGCUUUUGGUGUUUUCGUCAUGAAGUCUUUGCCCAUGCCUAUGUCCUGAGUGGUAUUGCCUAGGUUACUCUUUAUUGACUCCACAUCUUGAAAGGAGAAGGGAUUAUUUUGUUUAGCGAGUUUGAAAUAACUUGUUGAGCAUGCUCUGCUAGCACCUUUCUCCUGACUGUGUUCAGUUGUGUCUGCCUAUUGAAAGGAAAGUUUCUUACCUACUUUCAUCCACAUGGAUCUGCCAAUGAUGUGGAAGGCUAAUAGGGUUCCACUUGUGCCAGUGCCUGGGUGAACAAGUAUGUCCAAUUUAGGAGUCAAUUCCUAGGAAGCUAUUAGGUUUUAGAUCUAAAAUUGUAAUCUCCAAUCAGGCUGUUUUAGUAAUAAAGGUGAUAUUUUGAAUUCCAUUUGCUUGCUAUUGCUUCUUUGUCUCAGUUGUUUCCAAAAGAAGAAAAAGAUCUAUUAUUUAGUAAUCUACAUGAACCCCACAUAGAGAGAAAAUAGAGUACAUAAUUCCAUCAUAUAAAAAAUAAAUUUAAAAUACAUGAAGAGUUAAAUGAGAAAAAUAAUAUUUAAAUAUACAGGCAUAUCUCAGAGAUACUGUGGAUUUGGCUCCAGAUCACUGAAAUAAAGCAAAUAUGGCAAUGAAACAAGUCACACAAAUUUGGGGGGGUUCCCAAUGCAUAAAAAAUUAUGUUUACUCUAAACUGUGGUCCAUUAAGCAUUUAAACAUUAUGUCUAAAAACUGUACAUAUUUUAAUUUAAAAAUACCUUAUUGUUAAAAAAUACUAAUGAUCAUCUGAGCCUUCAGUGACUCAUAAUCUUUUUUUUUUUGGUAAAAGGUCUUGUUUGAUGUUGAUGGUUGCUGUUUGAUCAGGGUGUGGUUGCUGAAGGUUAGGGUGGCUGUGGCAAUUUCUUAAAAUAAGACGACAGUGAAGUUUGCUGCAUCAAUGGAUUCCUCCUCGAACAAAAGAUUUCUCUAUAGCAUGCAACGCUAUCUAUCUGAUAGCAUUUUACCCAUAGUAGAACUUUCAAAGUUUGAGUCAGUCCUCUCAAAUCCUGCUGCUACUUUAUCAAUUAAGUUUAUGUUUGGGUAGUAUUAACUGGAGUUAAUUAAAUAUGGAGUGACUAUUAUGGGGAAACACUGUCAGUUUCUGUGCAGAAUCCCAUGAUAGACAUUUCUAGUAGUUUCAACAAUGUCUGGGGCUCCUACCCUUCUAGGCUAAUGUGAACGCAUUUGAGCUUCAUAUAUCAACGAGUCCAUUUCACAAACAUGAUAUUCAUUAAAGGAAGCAAAAGGCAGAACACAUUCAGUUGAUUGUAUUUGUAUGCAUUACAUGUAGCAAAAUUAUAAGGAAAAUAAAAGGGAUGAUAACUAUUGAAAUAUUUCUUAAGCUAAGUGGAACAUGCAUAAAUAAUAUUUAAUAAUGUGCUCUAUACAUUUUAUGUAUAUAAAAUAUAGUUUCCUCCAAUAAAGGUUAUCUUAUUCUGAAAUCAUGGGUGGUAAGUAAAGCUUGUGAAAUAUGGAUUAUAAUAUGAUACCUGCAGUCAUCACCCUGGCACAACUAACACUUACUGGCUCCAUAUUCCUUACUAGGUAGAAGGCAAAUGUCUCACUUAGCAUGGCAUAGUUCUUCUACAGUUAGAAUCUUACUUUCCUUUCUCUACUCCUCUUCUCUUUUCUUCUUCCUGCUUACAACACGUUCACUGAGUAACCAAUGGAUCAAUCUCAGUUCCUUGAGUGUAAUUUUAAAAUAUUUUUACCUAAAAUACUUUGUUCCUUAACUUCUAACCAUCCUUUCCAACACAGUUAAAAUAUUGUCUUUGUGAAACUAUUUCCAAUUCUCAUACUGUGGUAUAUACUUUAAGGUAUUCUAAUGGGCUUACAUAUCUGUAUUCUCCAUUAAGGAUAGCUCAUGGAAGGUAGUGCCCUGUCUUAUUUGUCAUUGUUUCCCUAAUACUUAGCCCAGUGUCUGGCAUACUAAAUGCCUAAUGUUAGACAAAUAAACUACUUGGAAGAGCUGUUGAAAUGUUAAAAUGUUCAAAAAGUUGAAGGGACAAUUUCUGAAUUAAUGACACAAUGAACAGUAUCAAAAUUCAGAGAAUGUCACUGUGGAUGAGAGUGAUCUGGAAAGAUUCCAUCAAAGCUGGUGGCUCUGAGGUAGGUCUAACAGGAUGGGUAAGAUUUGCAGUAAUUGAGGAGAGUGGUGAGCUUCCCAAGCUAACCAGUUAUGAGAGCAAAGGGUUGGAGAAAGGGAAGACUUUCUUCAUUCUGCAGAUCUCCAUGCAUAUGCAACCUCUUUUAGGAAGCUAGUGUCCUUAUUCUGUCUUCCGUAGACUGUUCACAUUUCCUCAGUGUUUCUGGUGAUUUCUCUAGAAUCAAAGACUGUGUUAGGGCUUCAGGUCCAUGAGAAAUGAAGAGAGAAUGGGAUAAUACUGUAGAUGAAGCUAAGCAAGGAUACUGGUCUCAGUUAGAAGGUGGCUUCAGCCUGAUCCCACAGGAUCAGGAGUGUCAGUCACACCGAGUUGAUCCCACCUUGAGGAAAAUGCAGUCGUUUAUACCCCCAGAUUAGCCAGUUAUUAACUACAGGCUGUCUCGAGGGGAGGGUGCCAAUCUCCUGGGCAAGAGAACUCCCAUUUGGAUGAAGGCAAUUCUCUAAGGAGGGACCAGCUGGGAACUAUGAGCAUGCUCAACAUGGGUGAACUUGCCUGCUAAGGUGGAUCUGAGCAAGGCAUUACCAAAAAAUCUGCUCAGUUACCCUAGAGUGAUUAUACAUUUUUGUCCACGCUUCUGCUUUGAUGCUACUCUGUGUCAUGCUGUUGUAUCACCAUCCCCAUCUUCUGGGCUAUUUAUUCUGUUUUUGUCAGGCAGUAUUGCUUUCAAAUUGAUCCUGAUCUUCUGAACACCACUAAAUCUCCUGGUUAUUGGCACUACUUCUUGGCACUAUGGCCAUUUCUAUUGGAUACCACCUUUUAUUUAUUACCAGGAAACAUCAGCUCCUGCUGCUGAUUCUGCAGCUUUCCGGGUGUCAAGUUCUAUUCAGGGUCAAAGCCUGGGAGAGUGCUCCUUGUAUUGUGUUGCAUUGUAUUUGUUAAAUGAAUGCUCAAAGGCAGGGAAGAAUGUACCCCAAUGCUUUUGAGAGUUAAUAGUAUAGGUACUCUUUCACUUGCUACUUAGAGCACUACCCUACCAAAUGCUACUCAGACUUCCCUUUCUCCAGUGACUAAUGCUUUGUUAUUGAAACACUAUGAUCUUCUCAACUUUCUGCUCCCUUUGGGUGCACCCCCUCCUCACUGGUCUCUCAAUCUCUCCUGCAAAUGGACUUUUGGUAGGUCUGUGCCAUCAAAGCUUUAGGCUGCCGAAACGUCUGAAUUCCAGUAGUGGCAAAACCAUAACCCCAGCUACAUGUGCAAAACUCUGAUUAAGACUAAAUUAUUUAGAUAAUAGAAAUUGUAGUUAAUUCAAUAUGCAGUGACAAUUGUGGGGAAAACACUGUGUUAUGUUCUGUGCAGAAUCCCAUGAUAGACAUUUCUAACAUUUUUAUCAAUGUCUGGGGCUCCUAUCCUUCUAGGCAAAUGGAAAACAGCCACUGAGCUGUGAGUGGAAAUGACUUAUGGGAUGAAGCAUUUAAUUACCAGUGUCAUUUCUAGAUUGAAAUGUUUAAUUGCUCAUAUGAGAUUCCCUUGUGCUCUCAUGCCCUUGCUGUAGCAAGUAUGGAGAAAUCCUGUGGACAUAUGGUGGAACCAAUGGUUGAGCAGUCUUCAUUGCGUGAAAGAGUUUCUCUCGAGUUUCUCAGACCCACAGUGGAUGUUGCAUAAAUAAGAGAAAUGAGAAAUACUGUUUUUCUGAGUUAAGCCAUUAAGAUUUGGAAUCUGUGUAAGUAUAGCAUAAGCUGUACUAACCUAUCUUCACUAAUGAAAACAACCCUGUUCUUUUCCCUCCUGUUACCCAUUCUACUAAAUAGUAUGGUCUCCAUAAUGAAGAAUUUUGGCGAAGGCUACAAAUUAGAAAACUUUAUAGUAAUGAGUACUCACUUUCCCUGCCCUCUUUUGACUCAUUGUAUCUCCUGGCAUGUUAUUAAGAAAUCUCUAUGUUUAAAUAGAAUGGUUUGGCAAAAAUUUACUGAACAUAAAUAGAUUGCAGUUGGUUAAUUUGCUACAGUUGUUAAAAUAAUACCUGAGUUACAAAAUAAUUUGCCUGCAUAAUGUAAGAAGUGAGUGAUCAUGUAGGUUGCAAGACCCUAGAAAGCCAAACCUUUCAAAUUCUAUUUUUUAAAUGAAGUUGGUCAGAAGUAUGCUUUCAAUAAAAGUGUUCAUUUUGGAAAGUCUGGUAACUAAUGCUAAGAGUUAUAUAAAUAUAUAGUAAAAUAUGUUUCCUCACUGGAAUCUUCCAAAAUAAAUAAAUCUAAGAAAUACCUUUGUUUAUACUGUUCUUGGUGAGCUGUACUGAAAUAAAAAGAAAGAUGGAAUAUGAGAUAUUUAUGUAACAAAAUAAGACUUAUGGAAUAUUAUUACUGUCAAGAUAAUGAAUAUUUCAAUAUAAAAAGUCUCUGUAUGGUAUGUGUGAUAUGGCAUUUAAUAUUUAUCUAAACACAUCUAUUUUUUAGAAAAUACAUAAAACUCCAUAGACAGUGAAAUUUGCUGCUUUCAACCAAUGGCUAAAAUUUGCAUCUGUCUUAUGUUGGUGAAUUAAUCUACUCCGAAUUUUCUCAUAUGAAAAAAAUUAAAUCAUAAUAUAUAUAUGAUAAUUUAUAUGAUGAAAGAGAAUUGAUAAACAGCUUCAGAGAAAGAUGUAUGAUAUCCCAAAAUCAGAUAGAGCUUACACUGUUGGCCAGGAAUUAGCAGUUGUUUGGAAUAUUUCUUCCCUGUAAGCACCUCACGACAUCAAAUUGUAGACUGGCUUUUCUAUUACAGUCAGAGAAGACCCUUCAUGCGGCAUUUCUAUAGAGAGAAAUUUCACUGUGGUGGCAAACUCAUCUAUUUAUUUAACACUGGUAUUUCAGCCAUCUGACAAAUGGCCUUUUAUCCAAAAACAAAGACAAUGAAACACCCUUUUUCAUGACCACUAUUAAUAAUUGUAGAAUUUUGGUGUUUAAAUGCAGUAUUAAAAAAUAUGUACAUAACAACAACUAAAUAUUUACUGAACAUGAAUUAUGUGUCAGGCAUUAUGUUCUGUAUGAAUUAUUUUAUGUAAUUCUCAAAACCCUCCCUUAAGUUAGGUACUAUUAUUAGUUCCAUUUUACAAAGCAGAAAGCACCGAUAGACUAAGUAACUUAUUCAAAGGCAUAAAUUUAGUCAUUAAUUAUACAUGAAUUGAACAAAGAUUUGUCUGGCACUAAGGUUACAGAAAUGGGUAAAACAUGAGCCCAGUCCCUGUGGAACUUAGUGGGAGACAUAGACAUGUAAAUGGCAAUUUAAAAGGACAUGAAAAGAACCACACACUCGAAACAGGAACUGUAAUUUGAGAAAUAGAAAAUAACAUUUGAGCUGAAAGUAAGAUUUCAGCAGAAAAAAGGGGAAGGUCAUUCCCGACAUCAUAUCCUGCAUGUUUAGCAAUAGAGAGGUAUGAAGGGCCACGGAGUUUGGGAAAUGCUGAUGAGUGUGUAUGGCUGGAAUGGAAUGUGUGAGGAGAAAUAAGAGAAACUCUGUGGCUCAAUUCACAGAGCCAAAAUCAUUCGGUUAAUCUUUGCUUCAAACACUUUUACCAUUUACUUACCUCCUUUUCUUUCCUCCUCUUUAUGUGUUUACUAUUUCCACAAUAGUGCUUACGUAAAUAUUUUUUAAAGUAUAGGAUGCUCAAGAUGACAUAUAUGAGGAAAUACUAUAUAAUAGAUUCAGGCACGUAAAGAAGUGAGAAAAGAGAUAAUAUUCCUUUAAUUAGACCAAAAGUAGUUUCUAAAAUUAAAUAUCUAAAAAAUCCCUGAACAUUCCGGAUGAUAUAGGAAAGCAAGAAAAAAGAUUGCACACACAAUUUAAAAUUCUGAUUUCUGAGUAUCAAGCCUACUUGUGAGGUUGGACAAUCCCUAAGGUUAUCUAGGGCAUUUGAAAUAUACCACAACUCCUGGGGAAACCCCUAUAGAAAAGCAAAUUUGUUUUAGAAAACAAAAACAAAAACCAACCAGGACUCUCUCAGUUUAUGUUUAAAUAUGCUAAAGUAAUUCAUUUCAGAAGACAGUGUGCCAAAAAAUUAAGUAAAAUAAAAUAAAAAAGAAAAUUCUAAGAUUAUCUAGAGCAAUAUAGAGUAAUUCAGGAAAACAUACAUGCGUUUACUACAAAUGAGAAACGCAUAAAGCGUAAGUCAUGAAGGGUGUUUUCUACCAAAAUUAUGAUUAUUAUCUAUCAAAAUAAUAAUUUCUAGGAAAAUAAUGAUAAAACAAACGUUAAUUAUUUCUAGCCCUUUCUAGCAAGACAAGAACCUGCUAUAGAAGUAAGGAGGCCAAACAUGAAAGAAACCAUGUAUAGUGCAACAGGUGAAGGCCUGCAGGUAUAUUAAAAGUAAAUGCUUGUUUUACUUUUUUACCCUUCAAGAACAGAGCUAUUUUGGGAAACGUGUCUGACAUAAUAGUAUGUGGUGGCAAAGACUGAUGAAAUAAUUUGUGCAUGAAAAUAAUAAUAAACAGCAUGAGUUAGAAAGUUAUGAAUGCAGAUAUAUGUCAUAUAUCUGUGUCAUAUAUAUAAAACACAUGACACACAAAAUUUAUACAGAGACCCCAAUGCAUAUAGUUUCACAGAAUAUAAUAUAGAUGGAAAAGAGAGAAGAAGCAAAGAAGAAGGCAGAAGAGAUGUGGCAGAACUUUUUUCCAAAAAUGGCCACAAUAUUUCCAUCCUAUAUGUUUUUUGAUAUGCCUUCCAUUGAGAGAUGGGGUCCACUCAAUAUUUUCCCCUUUAAUUUAUGUCUAUAACUAUGUAAAUAACAUGACUGUGUCAAAUUCUAUUGAAGAGAAAUAUCCCAAGGAGAAAUAUGAUGUGUCGAUGGUUAAAAGAAUUCGUCUGAUUUUUGAGGGUAGGUAAUGAGAAAUGAAAGUUUCCAUCUCGUUCUCUUUGGAUACUCUGCUUUGGGGCUCUGAGCCAUGAUGUAAGAUGUUUGAGGCCGCCAUCUGGUAAGCCCAGGCCAUAUGUAGAUUAUGUGACCAACAGCUCCAGCUGAGGAUCCUGCCAACAGCUAGCAUGCAUCCAGGUGAUUCCCACUCCCAGCCUUUAAGUCCUUCCAGCUGAGGCCUCAGAUAUCAUGGAGCAGAGACAAAUGUGGACACAUACCUCUCAUGAGUAAGUAAUGAUGUUUAUUUAAGAAUGAAAUAAAAAUACUAUUUUUCCUUUUAAUUUAUGUGUAUUGUAUUUUCAUGAGACUACUACUGUAAGUUGUUGAGACAUAACUACUUAUUAGUUGAUUGGACAUAAUAAACAAAACAAUUAGGUAUUUCAUGGAGCCUA